rnacentral:rRNA from 1 species
GAUGAACGCUGGCGGCGUGCCUAACACAUGCAAGUCGAGCGGAAAUAGUCUGAAGUAUUCGUACGGAAGGGUAUUUUAGCGGCGGACGGGUGAGUAACACGUGAGCAACCUGCCUUCAGCUGGGGAAUAACAUUGGGAAACCAGUGCUAAUACCGCAUGACAUCACGGGGGGACAUCCCCCUGUGAUCAAAGGAUUUCGAUCCGGCCGAAGAUGGGCUCGCGUCCGAUUAGUUAGUUGGUGAGGUAACGGCUCACCAAGACCGCGAUCGGUAGCCGAACUGAGAGGUUGAUCGGCCACAUUGGGACUGAGACACGGCCCAGACUCCUACGGGAGGCAGCAGUGGGGAAUAUUGGGCAAUGGGGGAAACCCUGACCCAGCAACGCCGCGUGAAGGACGAAGGCCUUCGGGUUGUAAACUUCUUUGAUCAGGGACGAAACAAAUGACGGUACCUGAAGAACAAGCCACGGCUAACUACGUG